rnacentral:rRNA from 1 species
AUGUUGACUUCCCUGAUGGGUUUUGCCUUCUUCGCGUUCAUGUUCGUCUUCGGGUACGCUGCGGCGCUGCUGGAAGAGUCCCAUCCGGCGUCGACGAACGCCGCCCUGAUCGCCCUGUCGCUGCUGGCCCUCUUCUUCGGGUGCUGGUUUGGCGGCAUCUUCGUGAUCCUCGUGGCGGAGUGGCACCACGGCGGGGUAGAGGGACAUGCUAGGUUUGCUGAUGAUUUGAUCCAGUCCGAUAGAUUUAUUCUUCCUGGAUCAAUCCAUCAGUUUCUAAUUCGCAUCGGUCAGCAUGUAGAUGCAUAG